AUGCGCUCAUCAAUAAAAGCAAUCGGUGGGAGGGGAGCAAGAAAAAUAUAUUCCAGUAACUUGGGACGAUUUUUAUACCGAUUUUCCUCUAAAAAACAUGCGAUCAAACUAGGUUUUCGGCCAUGGCGAGUACCCGGGAGCUUCACGAGCUGUCCGCCGAGGAGGAAGAACAGUUCACGAAGCUGUUCAAGCGGCUAGACGCGAGCGGGGACGGGCGGAUCGACUUCGAAGAGCUGCGAGAGGGGUUGAAGAAACUCGGGGUACACAGCGACCAGGCAGAGAAACAUGCUCAGGAGAUUCUGAAGAAGAGUGACAAGGAUGAUGAUGAGGAGAUAGAGUUUGCAGAGUUUGUGAAGUACAUGUCAGAACACCAGCGUAAACUCAAGCUAACCUUCGACAAACUAGACAAGAACAAGGAUGGACGUAUAGAUACAGAGGAAAUCAUAGAAGCACUGCGAGGGUUGGGAGUUCACAUUGACAAGUCAGAGGCUAACAAGAUUAUGAAAAGUUUUACUUUGCGUUUGCGGACUUUUCUUGCUCAGGGGACCUCCGUCUUUGGUGCUUGCAGAUGUAUGGACAAAGAUGGCACCCUGACAGUAGACUGGGAUGAGUGGAGAGAGUACCUCCUGCUGCACCCCAGUGCUGAUCUGAAGGACAUCGUCAGGUACUGGAGACAUACUGUGUCCAUCGACAUCGGUGAGAACCUGUGUGUACCAGAUGAGUUUACAGAAGAGGAGAAGGUGACAGGGAUGUGGUGGAGACAGCUGGUGGCAGGCGGUACAGCCGGCGCUGUGUCCAGAACCUGUACAGCACCACUGGACAGACUCAAGGUCUUACUACAGGUGCAUGGAGCGAACCAGGCGAGGGGAGGCAUUAUGGGUAGUUUCCAGCAGAUGUUGAAGGAGGGGGGAGUGAAGGGCCUGUGGCGCGGGAACGGCAUGAACGUGCUCAAGAUCGCCCCGGAGAGCGCCAUCAAGUUCAUGGCGUACGAACGGCUGAAGAAGUUGUUCACAAGAGAAGGCCAGUCUCUGGGUGUGGUGGAGAGGUUCUGUUCUGGUUCCCUGGCCGGCAUGAUCUCUCAAACAUCCAUCUAUCCCAUGGAGGUACUGAAAACGCGUCUUGCCAUUCGCAAAACGGGGCAGUACUCGGGAAUGUGGGACUGUGCUGUCAAGAUCUACCAACGGGAGGGGCUACGGGCGUUCUACAAGGGGUACAUCCCCAAUAUACUUGGCGUUCUACCAUACGCUGGGAUAGACUUGUGUAUAUAUGAGACAUUAAAGAUUAUGUGGGUUCAACAUUCGGAGAGAUGGCUGCGGAGAAACGAGCCUCAGGAAACAGAUGAUGAUGAGAAAGAGGACGGGACGCUGAAGAACAUGUACCUAGCCAAGAACAAGAACCAGCCCAACCCAGGUGUCAUGGUGCUGCUGGCAUGUGGAACCAUCUCCAGCACCUGUGGACAGCUGGCCAGCUACCCGCUGGCUCUCAUCCGCACCAGGCUACAGGCGCAAACCACCCCCAUCCCUGGCAGAGACACCAUGGUUGGUUUGUUCCAGGGGAUUUUAAAGGACGAGGGUCUGCGGGGGCUGUACCGAGGCAUUGCACCCAACUUCAUGAAGGUGGCGCCGGCCGUCAGCAUCAGCUACGUAGUGUACGAGAAAACCCGCUCCGCACUUGGGGUCAACUCAAAAUAAGGUUUUAGUAUUGCUCGUCGAAGCAAGUCUGCAAAGCGUCUGUCAGCAUCGGUGCCGGGAUGAUUGGGUUUUUCCUCAGGGUUGUUAGUAUGGAUGGGUAGAGGUAGUCAGGCUGGGUUUGGGUCAGAAGUAACUUCCGUCUCCAUUUGAAACGGUCACUCCGGAGCACGCUAACACGUUUAAAGUGUGCCGUUAUGCAAGUACAAAUUAAUAAAGUUCAACAUUUUUUACUAUGUUUUGCAAUAAAGCAUCGACCAGUUCAAAAAGUGACAGCCGUUUAAUAGACGGAAAUUGGCGUGAAGUCCCGAAUACUUGGCACGGCUGUUUUUUUUCUAAAUUGCAAACUUGCCUAACCCUUGCAAGACAUUGUCAGGAUUAAACAAGAGACUAUAAACCGGAUAGUGAGUGUGAGAGCUUACAAUGCCACUGUUAAUAGUCACUACAGUGCUUUCAUUGAGAAUUCUCUAUGCAUUCAACAUCCUUUGGCUCAGAAAUGCAGCUUGUACCAUGCAGUACAUCCUCUAACAGGAAGCCCCCUUUAGGCUGUAUUCAUCAAAUAAAUCAGUAUGAAAGCGUGGAAACAAAAUUAAAGCCGCUGCAGUGUUCUAUGGGGCAAAGUGCAU